ensembl:ncRNA C15B12.11 ncRNA
AAAUCAUGAGUCAGCAUGCUAGUUUACCUCUACAUUUAGAUUGUUAUUUGAGUUGGGAUCAACUCGAAAUUGGCUUGUUUCGGGCUCCGAAAAGCCAAAACGCCGUAGAUUAUUGGCAUCCUGAAUGAUUUCAUUUUCGGGAAAAAUUG